rnacentral:piRNA from 1 species
UCUACCAAUGGAUGAACAAAAGACAACAGAA